UACGGGGGGGGCAAGCGUUGUUCGGAAUUACUGGGCGUAAAGGGCUCGUAGGUGGCCAACUAAGUCAGACGUGAAAUCCCUCGGCUUAACCGGGGAACUGCAUCUGAUACUGGAUGGCUUGAGUUCGGGAGAGGGAUGCGGAAUUCCAGGUGUAGCGGUGAAAUGCGUAGAUAUCGGGAGGAACACCUGUGGCGAAAGCGGCUCUCUGGACCACAACUGACGCUGAGGCGCGAAAGCUAGGGGAGCAAACAGG
rnacentral:rRNA from 1 species